rnacentral:rRNA from 1 species
UACGUAGGGGGCAAGCGUUGUCCGGAAUCAUUGGGCGUAAAGCGCGUGUAGGCGGCUCGGUAAGUCCGCUCUGAAAGCCCGGGGCUCAACCCCGGGAGGCGGGUGGAUACUGCUGAGCUCGAGUCCGGAAGAGGAGUGUGGAAUUCCUGGUGUAGCGGUGAAAUGCGCAGAUAUCAGGAGGAACACCAAUGGCGAAGGCAGCACUCUGGGACGGUACUGACGCUGAGACGCGAAAAGCGUGGGGAGCAAACAGG